AUACUCAGUUCUAAACUGUGCUAAAUUGCAUCUUUUCCAAUAUGUCUACUGUGGCCAGGCCUUGUACUAACAGUUUUCUGCAUUAUUAAUUCCAGUGUGGAAGUUUAUAGCUGGGAGCCAAAGAAACCUGCUCUAAGGAAGAGCGUGCCAGAGCCACCUCUAGCUGUUUCAAGCGUGCAACACAGGUGAAUCGCCUGCACAAGCUGGGGCAAGUUCCCCAGACACCAAGUGAACUAGCAUGAGAGGAAUAACACAAUUGCUCGUGAAAACUAGAAAAUCGUCACCAAGCAAUUAAUCCAGAUUAGGAACCCUCUGAAAAUAGAAUGAAACCCAUUGUCUCUUUAAACAAGGCACAUUGCACUCCAUUACAGAAGCUGCCUUAUCUGCCACAGGAAUUCUGUUUGACAGUUCGCUUCAAAAUGAGCCUUCAUUUUGGGACAGGAUUUGGCCAGCUGGAGUCAGCUUCUCCUCAAGCUCUGACACAGGCCUGGCAAAUCUACCUACCCUGAGAGAGCAUAGAACCUCCAGCAGCCUAUGGGACCUCUCUGAUACUACUUCCAGGGGGGAGGUCAGGGAUCUCAGCUAUGCACCUCACCAAAGCGUGGCAUUGCCCCACAGCCAGUCAUCAGGUAACGCACCCAGAGGUUCAUUGCUGCAUCUGAGCAGGAGGAUGAGAGGGGCCACAGUACUUGUUCCUCUGCAUGUUACUGUGGCAUCUGCACCCCAGCUGCCUGGAAAAGCUUGUACUGCCACUUGAAGAAAUGCCAGGCAGUGAACAUCAACUUGGGGAAGUAGAGCUGUGUGGUACCCAGCAGAACGACAACUACGUCAGACAUAGGCUGAAACAACUAAUGUAGGAACUACAAGAAGUGCUGCUCUGGACCCGAUGCACACCUCUCCUGCUUGGAAAAAAGAUCUCCUCAGCCACUUUGCAGUUCUCAGUGCAACACUGGAGCAGAGAAAGUACUAUAAUCAAGGUGUGGUCAAUUAUUGUGUAAUUCCCUCUCAGCCCUUCUCUCAUGCUGGGUUCAGGGAAAGGGGGCAAUUUUGUACUAGUGUCACAGCCAUUACUAUUUUUAGAGGAUUUUCUCCCAGCUUCUAAACAAUAACAUGUAAGAGUUAAGACGCAU
rnacentral:lncRNA from 1 species